UCCAAAGCAUAGCUGUCUGGUCUUCCAAGAAAUCCUCUGUCUGCAAAGGAAAAGGAUCACUGAUGUUUCCACAGAAGGAAGAAUUCCUCCCAUUGCAGUUCCAGGAGUGUGUGAGGGAAGGAAUGAGAAGGGGGGCAGGAGAAGUACACAGGGUCCAUAUGCUAUAAUGUACUUCAGGCUCCAAAUGGGCAUAAUCUGUCCCUUGAUUCCAGUCUCUCAAUUCAUCCUUUAAGUCACAAAUUCAAUGGACCAAAUACAACUUAUCUUUGGAGUAGCCACUGGGAUGAAUUUAGAUCUGGCUGUAUCAGGAACAGUGUCAGAAGAAAAGUGGAUGAAAAUUGUACAAAAAACUCCUUUGUACUCUGCUUCACAGACUUGUGACCAUGACUGAAUUUAUCUUCUGGCUGUUUCCUCAGAUGAGCAUGCCUUUAACUUUUCCUUGGGGCUUAAAAAAGAUUUUUCAACCCAUUUUUCCAUAUCACCACACAUUGUCCUGGAGAUGUCUCAGGAAUAUGUAUGGUGAGGUUCUACAUCCUUAGUCCUCACCAGGAAUGGGAUUGCAAAAGAACAUUCCAACUAUUUUAGGUUAUGGAAAAAGUAAUCAAAUAUUUCACUCACCACUAGAAUGUCAUCGUUUUAUGCAUUUCACAAAGAAUUCUCUCAUUACGUUAGAUAGGCCUGGAGAGACUCCAGUCUCUGUGGGUUGCUUGCAUUCCCCUGUUCUGUUCAGAAAUUAAAAGCCUUAGUCUGCUUUUUAAGAAAUCCAAAGUCACUUGGUGCCCUGCUACUGACCCAAAACUUGAUGGCAAUACACCUGAUUUCUGUUACAAACUGAUUUGGGCUUUUCUGAAUUUGUUCCUCACACAGCUGUGUGCACACCAUUCUCCCCACAUACUUUGAUAAAAAUAACAAUUGCACAUGAAGAAAAAAGAAAACCCAGAAUAAUAAUGACAACAGCAACUGCUUGAGAAAGACUAAUGAGUGCUGCUGAACAGCAGAGCCAUUCACUGACACUGAAU